rnacentral:lncRNA from 1 species
GUUGUUAAAAGAGCUAUUUUGGUAGGUGCCUAAAAGUGCGGGCAGUACAGUGUCCUAAUAUCUGAGACACCAGUCAGUGGAGCUCUCUGAGGUGGACCACACUUGAGCAUAUCCUGCGGAGCAGGCUCCCUUUGAAAGCUGGAUGGUAGGACCAGCAGAGUGACAGUUUCUCCAAGGAAUAGUGUCCUUGGGGACAGUUUGAGGACAGUGCUGACUCUCCCAUUUCUCCACCUUCCCAGCUCGGCCCAGGCACCCUGUCUCUUGCUGCCUGGCCAUUUGGGGUGCUUAUUAGAGACCUGCAGCCUGUGGGAAGGAACAUGCCAGAUACAAGAGGGCAGCCUCUCCCCAGGACCUUGCCACCCACCUGCCCCCGGAGCAGCCAAGCCAGCAGACAGGAACUGCAUUUAGCUGGGUCCCAGGCACCGGGCAGGCUCUCUGUGCCCUGCUGCCUUCCUCCUCACACAAACCCAGCGUGGCUGCUCCAGUCCUCAGCUUCCUGAGCCUGAAAAUGGGCUCACAGCUUCUCAGAAUUCUGCUUGGAACCUCCAUGCCCAGCACAGCCCAGAUGCAGUCAUGGGAAGAAGAGAGUGCCUUUGUGUGGCCUGAAGAAGAA